ACAACAAAAAUAAAAAAUGGCAGUAACCCAAUAAAAACAAGACGUAUCGGCUCUGACAUAACAAGAACAACACGGACAGAGACGCAGCUAACUGAUUUUUUUGGAGUGGAUCGCUUCGCGCAGGGCUUAGGCCUCACAACCGGGCAGAGAACAAUAAAACUACCUUCAGGUAGCUCCCGAACUGGUUGAAUCGAAAGAUCGAAGCAGUAUCAGCGCUCAAAAAAAUACGUUUGCUCUUGACCCCGGAUGGGGGUCGCUCAAAAAAGCAAAAAAGGUAUGGCUACCAAAAAAAACAACAGGCCGCCUAAAAACAAAAAAGAGCAUGCAACUGAACUUGGAGGGGAGCCCUGGCUCCCCUUCGUGCUGUCUGCCAUUCGCAAAAUCCCCUCUUC
rnacentral:sRNA from 1 species